rnacentral:lncRNA from 1 species
CUGGACCAAUGUCUGCCCACACUAGGAAGAACAGAUUGCUCUGCUCAUGUGAUCCAGCAACCUCCUCUGCUCCAUGAUGCCAGAAUUAAUCCCCUGUCAUCUUUUACUGAAAUAUUAGCUCCUGUGAGGCAUGCACUGUCUCAUCAUUUUUCUUAAAUCUGGAUAGAUUCAGUUCCACUUUUUAUCUGCUUCUUCAUCCUCAUUUAUUCCCUAAAAUCUUUCACACAGUUCCUAUAGAGUCAAAUCUAGUUGAGAUGUGAUUACCUACAUCUCUCUCCUCCUCUCUUUUUCCCCUUGCUCACACCAUGACGCAGCGUGUUUCUCCCUGAGGAUGGAGGAGGAAAGGUGCAGCAGAGGACAAAGCUCUCUGCCAACAUCACCAAGGGGAAGAGGGAAUACUGGGAAGCAGAGAGCCAUGAUGUCUGGGGCAUCACUGGGUUCCAGGACUCAUUUACUUCACUCAGGAAGAGUGAACAGCAAAGUGUACACCUGAGCUCCAGCUGCUGAGUGGAUCUGUGAAGCCCUUUCUCAAUGGAAGGUUCGUACUCAUUGACCACCAAGGUGAGCUUUAAAAUUUCAAGCCUUGAUCUCAGCAAUUCAUCGGCCAGCUCUGUCAGAGCUGUGUUUUUCCAAACAUGGACACUUGAGAGACCCCUAGAAAGGAGACAAAACUAGAACAGGCACAUAGAAGUCAUAAAAGAGAACCUCAAGGGGUACUGAGCAGAACAGGAGCAGAACACGAUGCCAAGAACAGGAAUACUUCAAAACAGAACAGGAUUUGGAGGCUAUGCCUAAACCAUCCAUUUCUUAUGACUUUUUAUUGAAUAGCUGACACCGUAAGAAGACAAAAAUCUAGUUGCCCUCCUGGAAAGCAGUGGGUGUUACUGAAAUCAAUACGGAGACAUAUCCUGCGAGUUGUAUUUAUUUUGGCAGUCUGAGGACAGUUGAUGGUUUAUGUGAAUAUACGAGAAGGAUUUAGCUUGAGGUGACAGGAGGUAAGCCCUCAAGCAACAGGAGAGUGGAAGUGAAACUACCCAAGAUUAGAAAUCUCAUGUUCUCUCUAGAUUAAUCUAAAUAGGGAAGACUGGAGCUGUAUAGUGUUCAGCCUACUGUACAGCAGUCCAUCAUUAAAAAUAGAAGAGGCGGAGAAGAAAAAUAAGAUGAGGGAAAAGUAAGAUUUCUCUGCUGAUAGGUUACUAAAAGGUACAUAUCUCUAAAAAAGGAGCUGUAAGGACUGAAUUUGCAUAUCUAAUCCUUGCUUUUUAAAGAUCUUUCCAAUUCCUUCAAAUUUCAAAUC